rnacentral:rRNA from 1 species
GACGAACGCUGGCGGCGUGCUUAACACAUGCAAGUCGAGCGGUAAGGCCCUUUCGGGGGUACACGAGCGGCGAACGGGUGAGUAACACGUGGGUGACCUGCCCUCAGCUCUGGGAUAAGCCUGGGAAACCGGGUCUAAUACCGGAUAUGACUCCAUGACGCAUGUUGUGGGGUGGAAAGCCUUGUGCGGCUAGAGAUGGGCCCGCGGCCUAUCAGCUUGUUGGUGGGGUGAUGGCCUACCAAGGCGACGACGGGUAGCCGGCCUGAGAGGGCGACCGGCCACACUGGGACUGAGACACGGCCCAGACUCCUACGGGAGGCAGCAGUGGGGAAUCUUGCGCAAUGGGCGAAAGCCUGACGCAGCGACGCCGCGUGAGGGAUGACGGCCU